AGGACGAACGCUGGCGGCGUGCUUAACACAUGCAAGUCGAACGGUAAGGCCCCUUCGGGGGUACACGAGUGGCGAACGGGUGAGUAACACGUGAGCAACCUGCCCUUGACUUCGGAAUACCAGCUGGAAACAGCUGCUAAUACCGGAUAUGACUCCGACCGACCUCGGUCGGGGUGGAAAGCUCCGGCGGUCAGGGAUGGGCUCGCGGCCUAUCAGCUUGUUGGUGAGGUAAUGGCUCACCAAGGCUUCGACGGGUA
rnacentral:rRNA from 1 species